rnacentral:rRNA from 1 species
GUGCAGCAGUCGCGAAACUUUCGCAAUGCGCGCAAGCGUGACGGAGUGACGCCGCGUGGACGAUGAAGGCCCUUCGGGUUGUAAAGUCCAAUCGCGGGGGAAGAAACAGCGGAGGGAAACACUCUGCCGCUGUGACGUUACCCCGGUCGAAGCGCCGGCUAAACACGUGCCAGCAGCCGCGGUAAGACGUGUGGCGCAAGCGUUGUUCGGAAUCACUGGGCAUAAAGAGCGCGUAGGCGGUGUCGUAAGUCGGAUGUGAAAG